CGCAGUAGCUCAGCUGGUUAGAGCGCCAGUUCUUUUUAAGGCGUGACUCAUAGGUUUUAACUCAAGAUUGAGCCAUCUGGAGGUGGGGGGUUCAACUCCCCCCUGCGGCA
rnacentral:tRNA from 1 species